AUUUUCGUGCUCGGCCUUCCGUGGAGUCGAGUUUGUUUGGGCUGACAGUAACCCCGGCCUACGGGAAAGCCCAUAAUAUAGCCCAAAUCUGCCAGUGCUCAUCGGCCGUUGCGCUACGCCGCCGCUGGCCGGCCGGUCGGUAUGCCCCCGAUUCGAUUCGCCGCAGCCACGGGGGCAUCGCAGAGCAAUCGCUGGCCUCCAUCCCCGACCCUCUCGGCGGCGGCGGCAGUGAUUAGAGCGGCGGAUUCAACGAGGGACCACGGGAGUGUUGUUGCCACGGACCAGCGCGGACCAUCGGCUCGCCGGCGAGGGGAGAGCAGUGCGCAGCGGCAGGAUGAGGGCGGCGGUCGCCGGUGCGGAUGCGCGCGCGCGAGGGAGGAUUUGGCGGUUCCUUUUGCUUCCGUGGUCGCCAAGAGCAGCUUCGGAGGAGAGGACCAAGUUGCGGGGUGCAUGCGGCCGUCGGGGCAGAAGCACCUGAACUCGUUUAGGAUAGCCUUGUACCGGCACUCACCACUGUUCGUGUUGUAUUCGGCGCAGUCCACCGGCACCAUCCACUCCAGCAGGAAUCCGCGUCUCACGAUCCCCUUGUAGGCAUCCCACAAACGGAGUUCCGACCCGGGCAUCACCAGUACCACCGACUCACCGAGUACCUGGUGGAUGCCACUGGUCAUGUGGCUUGCACUCUGCCUCCAGGCUCAUACCUCUGUCUGGUGUACCCGGAUCAUGUGCUGGGACCAGAACAGUUGAUCUGGAGCGCGCCUGCGGGCAGUUGUGGCGAGCCGUUGGCGCAGAAGAAGAGCUCCCAGUUGGUGCUGCUGAUAGCGAAGAAUAAGAGCACGAAGCUGGUGGACAUGUUGAAGCGCGUGCCAAGGCAGGGUUUGCCGGAGUCGACGAGGUUGGCAUGGAAGGCCACGACGCAGCGGUCGCCAUAGCGGAUAUCCAGAAGGCGGAAGUAGGAUCACCCGUCCAGGCUGGGUGGCGUCAUGCCGUUGGGGUCGUCGCACGUGAUGCUGAAGGUUGGGUAGCUGCAGUGGGACGAGUGGUGGCCGUGCAGCCAGAAUGGUUACCUGAUGGUCAUCUUGCGGCACGCUUCCGGGGCACAGCUUGCGUCCAGCGGCUGCGCCCGCAAGGCCAGUACAAGCAAAGGCAGGAAGCAUAGGAGGAGGAGCUCGGAGGGAGCACGCAUUCUGAUAUUGGAGCAAACGCCGAUAGAAAGAAAUAGUUUAUUUUAAGAUCGAAAAUGGGACUUGAUGAAGUAGCGGGCGUGAACUAUGAAGAGAUGAGGAGCUGAUUUGUGUGACAUUAUACUAUUGGAGCACUUGAUUACGAAGGAUACAGAGUUUCCUCAACGAGUCAACACAGUCCAACGAUACCACGUCAGAACAUGGUUUUGAUCAGUUCCUGAUGGCCAACAUAUUGCAAAUGGUUGGAGCCCAUUUGGUCAUUUUGUUUUGUUUUCCCAAACGUUUGUACUGGUUGCUUUUGUUAGUGAAAUAUGAUACUCCCUUUUAUUAUAAGAA